AUCUCCGCUUUGCCGGGUGCCCCAGGCCUAGCGCCCGCCUCUGUUCCGCGUCCCCCUCUGCAGGCGCACGCGAGUUCCCCCUUCCCUCAGCGGCACGGACCGCGCGCCCUGGCCCCUCCGCCUCCCCUCCGCGCCUCUCUCUCCCCGCAGAAAGUUAGCAGCGGGGAAGGAACUCAGGGCUGCGACAGGGCGCGGCGGCGGCGGCAGAGACUGAAGCAGGAGCCGCGUCAGAGCCGGGGAAGCGUGGGCGCUGCAGACGGAGCAGGUGCAGCCAGCGGGUCCGCGCGCCUCCCUUGGGCCCCUUGCCGGAAGCUGAGGUGGGUGGUGGGGGGCCACCCGGACUCCGCGGGAAGAGUGGGGAGGGGGAUCAUGCAGCCGGGCUCUUCCCCGGCGCAGCGCGACAGCGGCCAGGGCCAGGGGUGCAGUGGCAUCGCUUCAUGCAGUCUGGGCGGCUGGGGGGGCGGGCGGCGGGCAGGGGCACUGGCGGUUGCUGAAACCAUGUCCCGGCAGCGCCGGGGGCUGCCGCCGCCGCUGCCUCAGCAAGCCCGGAGCCGCGCUGACCCCGUGGCCCCCACCUCCUCAGCCUCCGCCUCCACCUCUCGCCGCGCCGCCGCCGCCUGGCGCGCGAGCUGCUUUCUCUGCACCUUGUCCCUGUCUGUCACCUACCUGUGCUACAGCCUCCUGGGCGGCUCGGGCACCCUGCAGUUCCCCGUGGUGCUACAGGAGCCGCCCGCACUGCCGCCGAGCCCGCCCCCACCCUCUCUACUGCUGCCCCCCAUGCGCCUCGGCACCCCCUCGCAGCCGUCCGCGCUGCCGCCGGACAACGCGAGCCGCGGGGAGCCCCCGGAGCCCUCCAAGCAGCCCCCUGCCCCCGGGCCGACGGCUGGGGUCUGGCGAGCGGCAGCGGGGGUGCUUGGGACACCUGGCUCCGACCCCUGUGGCCCCUGGCAAGAUGAUCAUGGCACAGAGCGCGCUGCUGGAGAGGGAAGCGCAGGAGUCCAGCACCACCCACAAGGAGCUCGCAGGCCGGAGAGCGGUCAAUGGGAGCAGCGAGAGGGGCGGCGCCCUCAGCACCCCCAACUAUGGGGAGAAGAAGCUGCCACAGGCGGUCAUCAUCGGGGUCAAGAAAGGAGGCACCCGCGAGCUGCUGGAGGCGAUCGGAGUCCACCCGGGCAUGCGGGCCGUGGGCGUAGAGCCACGCUUCUUCGACAGGAACUACGAAAAGGGGCUGGAGUGGUACAGCGGGCACUAACAGACUUCCACAGCCUUCAGCCUCCUUCAGAUACUCAAGCACGGAUAUGUCCUCUGCGGAGAACCAGCAUUACAGGCAGAUUUUUAGAGUUGUUAAAAAGCUGGAGCAAGGGGCUGGCCCCGUGGCCGAGUGGUUAA
rnacentral:lncRNA from 1 species